CUAAUUUUUCCCCAAAAUUUUUCCCCAAUUUCUUCCUCCCAUCCGCGUGCGUUCUCCCCUAAAUUUUCCCCAUUCCUCCCGUCCGUGUUUCUCCCCAUUCCGGUCAUCUUAAGUCUCGUCGCCACCACUGCCCCCUCCUGCCCGUUCGUCCAAACCUCCUCCUCCUCACCACCACCACCCCGUCGCCACCACCCCGUAUUCUCCAAACCUCUGCAAUCAACCUGAAGCUUCAAAUUGUGGGCGUCGGUCGUCACCCCUCCGCCGCUUGGAGUUUACGGGCUUCUUGUUCCUUUUCUACAGGGAUUUGAGGUUUUGGUGGUUUUUCUAUCCCUCUUUUUUGUUGCUCAUCUUCUUGAUAAGUGAUUAUUGAUGGAUUCCAUGGAGCAUAUACUGGAUCACUUUAAUGUCAUGUUGAAGAUUUGAGAGUGCUUUUGAAGUCCAAAACUGAAAACUUUGGUGUCACAACAAGCAACUCAAUUGAAUGCACUUAUGUAUUUUCUGUGAAACUAUCAAUAUUCAGGGGUGGAUCCAAUGUUUUUUUUUUGGGGGUAAUUAUGCUGUCAUGGAAGAUUUUUAUGGAAUGACAUGAUGAAAUGCUUUUAUA